UUAAGUUCUCCUGAUAUUGCGAUUACGACAUCUUGUUUUCAAAGACAUCAGUUUCUCGCUGCAAUGACUUAUCGUAGUAAUUUGAUAAGUCUUGAUUUAAUAAAAAGCAGAUUCAUUACUCAUAAAGUCAUUGAUAAUUUUGAUAAGAAAAAUAUGUUACCCCAUUAACUCAAGUGUUGGGAAUUAUCUUGACCAAAAUAAUGCCCACGAAAAAAAGUAUUGUAUAUUACAUAAGCUUUAAUUUAAAAUUAAACAAAAGUCUCAAUAUUGCUGGAAAUUUUUUAAAAAUUGAGUAGAAAAAGUUUAACUUAUGUGUAAAUAUUGUUAUUUUGAAUCCCUUGUAUGGUCAGGUCAAAACAAAUGUUUGAAGCUCGGAAUAUUUCUGGAACUUUUCAAAGUUUUUUAUUUAUCAUGGAAUCAAAAUGAGGAAAUCCGUCAUUAUUUUAUAAAAAUCAAGUGACCCCUCAACUUGUAUGAGAAUUUUGUGUGAAAUAUCAGGAUAUGAUUAAUAUUUUUGUUGUUUAUAUAGCACCUCUGGGAAAUUAUGUUUAUAAUUCCAAUACGCGUAAAAUCUAAAGCAACACGGAAGUCAUCUCUAAAAGGUACGUUGGGCCAACUUAUAAGUUUAUACAAACCCUAGUUUAUAGAUAUUUUAAAAUUAUUAAAAAAAAUAUAUUAACCUUUUGAUUAUAUUAUAG